rnacentral:rRNA from 1 species
UGUUUACCAAAAACAUGUCUUUUUGAUAAUAAUUUAAAGUCUGACCUGCCCACUGAUUUUAAAUUAAAGGGCCGCAGUAUUUUGACUGUGCAAAGGUAGCAUAAUCAUUUGUCUUUUAAUUAAAGGCUAGAAUGAAUGGUUGGACGUAAUAUUAACUGUCUCAUUUUAAAAAAAAUAAAAAUUUAGUUUUUUAGUCAAAAAGCUAAAAUAAAUUUAAAAGACGAGAAGACCCUAUAGAUCUUUAUAAUUUAUAUUAUAGUUUUUAAUUAGAAUUUUAUUAUUAUAAUUAUAAUAUAAAUUAUUUUAUUGGGGUGAUAAAAAAAUUUAAUUAACUUUUUUUUUAAAUAUAAACAAUAAUGAUUGAAUAUAUUUGAUCCAUAAAUUAUGAUUAAAAGAAUAAGAUACCUUAGGGAUAACAGCGUAAUUUUUUUAGAGAGUUCUUAUCGAUAAAAAAGAUUGCGACCUCGAUGUUGAAUUAAAAGAAUUUUUAGAUGUAGUAGUUUAAAGAAAUAGGUCUGUUCGACCUUUAAAAUUUUACAUGAUCUGAGUUCAAACCGG